UUUGAAUGGACAACUAAUCCCAUGUGCCACCUUAUCCACUUGUGCGCCACUUCCUCCACACGAGAAAAAGUUUCUCGUGUAAACUCUCCAUGCACAAAGAGGCCCACGCCCCUCCCUUCUCACACCUUGAGUGGAUAAGGAUAAGUUGGUUGGCAUUUGAAUUCAAAUUCGAUUUGAAUUCAAGUGAGCAACCACCUAGC
rnacentral:lncRNA from 1 species